GAUCGUUUGCUUUGUCCAACCCGAAGAUGUUUAUUUUGCAAUUACAUAAAAAAGCUGGAAAUCAUCACAUUUGAGAAGCUCAAAGCAAAUAUUUGGCCACUUACAUUGAUUAUUUCCAGAGUCCCCAACAAUGAUUUGUGCACAAAAACACUAGAAGUUAAAUAUAAACUACAUAAACUAGACUUUUAAUAUUAUGUCUUAGAGUGAUGCAGUUAUACUACUUCGAUUUAGAGAAUGACUAGAGGCAUCCGGGGAGAGGCUGCACCCCCAAACCCCACAACAAGCAGAUAUAAAAUGUCUUUUCCUUCUCCGGACAUAUAUAGAAACAGAACAGGACAAACAUUUUCGUAACCCUCCACACCCUCAUAGUAGUCUCUUCCUAAUGAAGGAGCCUUCCUCCCUUCAGAGCCUCUUCCUCUGUUUUGGAUCUGACACUGUAUCUGAACCCCACUGUGUAAAUAUGGCUGCUGAACGGGUCGACCUCUUCACUGCCGAGGGAAGUUAAUUUGUUGACGGGCGGGAAGGUGAGCAGGAGUCACGCUCUCAGAGGUCAUUCAAUAAUCGCCCCGGGGCAAGAGCCCCCCAGGUGAAUUCUGGGAUGCAUUUUUCCGAUAAAUCGUUUACAGUGGCUGUGCAGUCCCUCGGGGCCCCCAGAUAAAGUUUGCCAAUCAAAAUUUUUCCGAAGCAGCCACCUCACCCUCUAACACAUGCAUACACAAACCUGCACACGAAUACACUUAUACAGUCUCACACACACUCACACACAUUCAGCUUCUUUAAUUGUGACUUUGGAAAGAAGAUGUGACAGUGGCGCACAGCUCUCUGUGGAAGUUUGAAAGCAGUAGUGUGGGGGUGGAUGGAGGAAGGUAGAAGACUGUGUACGUUUGAGUUUGUGUGUGUUUGACUGUGUGUAUUCAACUGUGUUUGCACAGGGACAGGGGAGGGUGUCUUCCAACAAUAGCUUCCCCUCCUCUGAUCGUCUGCCAAGGUUUUGAUGAAGAAAGUCACUGCACGUCUUUUCUCCAUGAUAAUUCUCCCCCCCCACACUCACAUGAGGCAGCCCUCCCUGGUGCCACCCUCCCGCCGCCACCCUCCCGCCUGCAUCGAGUUAUCGCAUCUGGGCACACGUUGGCCGCGGCUGGGCCUGCACCGGUACAGGCUGUGGAAGGGCAGACGAAGGAACGUUCUGUG